rnacentral:lncRNA from 1 species
GCUUUGACAGGACCCCUAACACGGAGCUGGCUCCCAAGAGGAGACAGUUCCCAGGACCCUCCCUGCCUUGAAGAGGGCGGCGGGUGGGGGGAAUCUGGAGGCGAAGGGCUCAUCGAUCUCUGGGAUUCCCCAUCAGUCUUGCCACCUGGUCGGCAGGGUCCCGAAGGUUGUGGAUAGCGUGGGACCAGCGAGGGGCAGCAUGGGACCGGCGAGGGGCCCCUUACCUCCAGGCUGCGCGGGAUGGAGGAGGUUGAGCAAGAGGAUCAGCAAGACGCCAGGCUGCGGGACUGCCGCUGUCAGACCCGCCAUCUCGGGGAGGACUGCCCCAGCCUGCUCUCUGCGCCUCGUUUUAUCCCCAAAGCGUAAUUGCUGCCUGAGGCUCCGUGGACCUGCGAAGGGUGCAUGGCUCCAGAUUCUCUGCACUGCUCACCCAUGCACGUUAACGCAGCACCUGCACUGAGAAGGCAAAGUGAGUCGCUACCAUGGCUGGCAGAUGGAAGGACCCACCAGUUUCGCUGUGUUGAACAGAGUACCAAUGAGAACUCAGGAAAUGCAGGUGGAGAAUGCCACAGUAUCACUGCCAGAAGCCACCGACUGUGGAGAGCUAUACUCCAGCCUCUUUUCCACAAUUUCUUAAAAACAAACAAACAACAACCAAACUU